GCCCUGUUCCAUAUACAUCCGAUAAAGUUGUGCCUUAUCAGUACAACGCCACGAUGAUUGAGAAUGGUCAAGAGGUUCCUUUACCAGACGUAGAUUUUGUAGUGAAUAUCGUUGAUGUUGCGAAGGUGACCCGUAGUGGUUAUGUGUUUGGUCCAGUUUUCCUGAAGGAAGUAGAAGAUGUUGCAACAAAUAAGAAAGUAGAGAUUUCAG
rnacentral:lncRNA from 1 species